UAAACUGUAAAUAAGUAUUAUAUAGGUAUAAAAAUAAAUAUAGUUAAAAUAAAAAAAUGUAGCUGAUUAAAUUCAGUGCACAAAACCACAAAGGCUGUUUUUUAAAAAAUUAAUUCCAAAUACAUCAUAAAAGUUUAUUGGUUUACAAAUGAAUAAUUAGAUUAUAUCACUUGUUUUAAGGCAUACAUUCAAAACAAACCCCCAACAAUAAUCCACUAGGAGCCACAAAGUUUUACUUUCACCCUUUAGGAAAAUAAGACACUGAUUUUUUUGAUCGUCUGAAAGAUCUUUAUUGGCAUACAUGCAUAUUUUCCUUGCAGUCUCUGCACGUCUAUUGGAAUAGAAAGAAGUUCUACAGUGCUACAUCCACACAGCCAGUUAUCAGGGACUGAGUUACUACAAAACUUUAGCAAAGCAAACUCAUUCUUGCAAUGCAUUCAGGCCUUACAGCGAAUGUGUACCCAAAGGUAGAGGGCUAUACUAUUGGUAGGGUUAAGGCACUGGUUUUAUUGUCAGAAAAAACAAAUUUAGGUACAAACUGAAGAAUUUAACACAUAAAAACCUAUUACUCCCAGACUGAAGUUAAUAACACGCAUACAAGACAAACACACGUUUUAGUUGCACCCAGGCACUGAUGCUUCUACUCUACAGCCGACUCCUUUAUGUUAGUCAUUCAGAAAGCACAGGUAUACUGUCGUUGCUGGGUCCAGAGUAAUGCUUUACCCGGAGAGUUUUUCGCACAUCAUUCAAAUGCAGCAGUCUCAUACACCGUCCUCAUUUUACCACACAGACUAUCCAAGCUCUUGAUUUUUCCUCCAUCUACAAAAAAACAAAUUUUCCUCCAAAAAGUGGCAACUUGACAUUUUCUUUCCACUAAAACCAAAAAACAGUUGUAAAAACAAAACAAAAAAAAGCCGCAGGACUACCGGAGGAGCACGGCAACACAAUCAAAGAUGACAGUACGGCACACAAAGGCAAUCUGAUUACAUUUUGCGAUUACCCUUAAUAUUCUAACAUAAACACUUAAAAACACACAAAAAUGUAUAGUAAAUAACAUAGCAGAUAAACAUAAACGAGUCAGUUUAUAAAAUCGGCCGCGAGGGGAAUCAAGUAUGGAAGAAGGGUGACGGCGUCCAUCCUCUUCUUCCGAGUGUCCUCACUUAAACCUCUUUUGUGCUGGUCUUGGACUUCUCCACCGUGUCCUGAGGUCAAAUAAAAAAAAUAAAAAUAAAAUACAAAACAAUUAUGAAAAUACCCAUAUGUUUGGAUAUUUUUCUUUACUUGAUGAUAAUAAGAAAAAGCUCAAUUU
rnacentral:lncRNA from 1 species